rnacentral:rRNA from 1 species
GUUUGAUCCUGGCUCAGAGCGAACGCUGGCGGCAGGCCUAACACAUGCAAGUCGAGCGGCCGUAGCAAUACGGCAGCGGCAGACGGGAGAGUAACACGUGGGAACGCGCCCUUCGGUUCGGAAUAACUCAGGGAAACUUGGGCUAAUACCGGAUACGCCCUUACGGGGAAAGAUUUAUUGCCGAAGGAACGGCCCGCGUCCGAUUAGCUAGUUGGUGAGGUAAUGGCUCACCAAGGCGACGAUCGGUAGCUGGUCUGAGAGGAUGACCAGCCUCACUGGGACUGAGACACGGCCCAGACUCCUACGGGAGGCAGCAGUGGGGAAUAUUGGACAAUGGGCGCAAGCCUGAUCCAGCCAUGCCGCGUGGAUGAUGAAGGCCUUAGGGUUGUAAAGUCCUUUCAGCGGGGAAGAUAAUGACGGUACCCGCAGAAGAAGCCCCGGCUAACUUCGUGCCAGCAGCCGCGGUAAUA